rnacentral:lncRNA from 1 species
UAAUUAUAAUAAUAAGGAUAAAAGUAAUGAAUAAUAAAAAUAAUAGUAAUAACUAGUAACUUUAGAAUACUAGUUAAUAAUAAUAAUACUAAUUGAAAAGAAAAAAACAGAAAAGAAAAGAAAAGGAAAUAAAAUAGAAAAAAUGAAAAUUAGAAAAAAGGAUGGGGUGGUUGAUUAAGAUGCAGAGAAAGAUAUUUAUGAAAUUUCAAAAUGCAAAACAAUAUCCUCUCAUCACACGACAUAUGUCAAAGGGAGUUUAAAAAAAA